rnacentral:rRNA from 1 species
AAAGGAACGCUAAUACCGCAUACGUCCUACGGGAGAAAGCAGGGGACCUUCGGGCCUUGCGCUAUCAGAUGAGCCUAGGUCGGAUUAGCUAGUUGGUGAGGUAAAGGCUCACCAAGGCGACGAUCCGUAACUGGUCUGAGAGGAUGAUCAGUCACACUGGAACUGAGACACGGUCCAGACUCCUACGGGAGGCAGCAGUGGGGAAUAUUGGACAAUGGGCGAAAGCCUGAUCCAGCCAUGCCGCGUGUGUGAAGAAGGUCUUCGGAUUGUAAAGCACUUUAAGUUGGGAGGAAGGGCAGUAAGUUAAUACCUUGCUGUUUUGACGUUACCGACAGAAUAAGCACCGGCUAACUUCGUGCCAGCAGCCGCGGUAAUACGAAGGGUGCAAGCGUUAAUCGGAAUUACUGGGCGUAAAGCGCGCGUAGGUGGUUCAGCAAGUUGGAUGUGAAAGCCCCGGGCUCAACCUGGGGAACUGCAUCCCAAAACUACUGAGCUAGAGUAC